UAGGGGGCAAGCGUUAUCCGGAAUUACUGGGUGUAAAGGGAGCGUAGGCGGCAAGGUAAGUAAGAUGUGAAAGCCCGCAGCUUAACUGCGAGGAUUGCAUUUUAAACUAUCGAGCUAGAGUACAGGAGAGGUAAGCGGAAUUCCUAGUGUAGCGGUGAAAUGCGUAGAUAUUAGGAAGAACACCAGUGGCGAAGGCGGCUUACUGGACUGUAACUGACGCUGAGGCUCGAAAGCGUGGGGAGCGAA
rnacentral:rRNA from 1 species